GAACCUGCGGGAGAGAAGAACCCUCUGAGCCUGAUUGAAAGGUGGUGAAGAGACAGGGGAGGGGGAUCAGUGGGUGGUCCCGCCUCCAUCUUCAGUUCCCGCAUUGGGGCGAGGCAGGUACAUGGGCCUUGCUGGCUGUGGGUGAAAUUCCAUUAUUGAUUGUUUUUUCACUAACUUGGUGGGGGAGUCGGGCGCGAGUUUCGAGAGAGGCUCUGGCUUCUGGCGCCAAGCCUUAGCCAAGCUCAACAGGUGCAGCGCUAGAUGGGGAGACUGGGACACACGUCUGAACGCAGAUGUCCUAAGGGAGCGCAGGAAGACAGAAGCCUCCCCUGGGGCAGGAGGGCAAAGGCUCCUGGGUCUUGCAUUUGCAGCAGGAGUUCAGACGGUGAAAGCAGGGCUUCAGGAUCCUUCUGACCUUUUGAGUUUUAAACAAGCGGUGUCAGAAAAGUCGUCACAGGGAUAACUGAUUUGCAGCAGGAAAGCAUUCAUAGGAAUGAGGCUUCUUUUUGUUUUUUGUCUUUGUUUUUGUGUGUGUGUGUGUGUGUGUGUUUUUUUUUUUGUCAGGGUCUCAUGCUGUGGCACAGGCUGGAGUGCAGUGGUGCCACCAUAGCUCACUGCGCUAUGAGAGCUAUGUGAUCGGCGCUCAAGUGAUACUCUGGCCUCAGCCUCCAAAAUAAAUGGGACCGCAGGCCUGAGCCACCAUGUCCUGUGGCUUUUUAAUCCUUUUGAUCCUUGGAUGUGGGCUCUUCCUAUCAUUGGAAGACAGAAUUCACCAAGGUUGGGUUGUUCACCCACUCAGAAAACCUGAGCUGGGGCUGGGGCUAGGGCUGGGGCUCACGCCUAUAAUCCCAGCACUUUGGUAGGCCAAGGCGGGUGAAUCACCUGAGGUCGGAAGUUCGAGGCCAGCCUGGCCAACAUGGUGAAACCCCCGUCUCUACUGAAAAUACGAAAAUUAGCCGGGCGUGGUGGCGCAUGCCUGUAAUCCCAGCUACUCGGGAGGCUGAGGCAGGAGAAUCACUUGAACCCGGGAGGCAGAGGUUGCAGUGAGCUGAGAUGGUGUCACUGCACUCCAGCCUGGGCAACAAGAGCGAAACUUCGUCUAAAAAAAAAAAAGAAAGAAAGAAAAGAGAAAAGAAAAGGAAAGAAAAGAAAGCCGGAGCUGGCAUUAGACCAUGUGAGACAGGUUGAUUUCACUCUAGUGAGCAUGCGUGGUUGCCUUGGUGAUCCUGCCCAGUACCACAGGUCCCCAGGUUCAGACGUUUGGUGCCUGUGCUUGGAUGAGAGACCACUGGGCUAAGCUGCCAUCCGUGGGAUGCUGACUAAAGGCCUCUAAGUCAGAAUAUGCCCAGGCAGAACUAUAGGGCAGCGCCAU
rnacentral:ncRNA from 1 species